GUAAAAUGUAGUCCAUUUACUAGUCAGUUCCAAACCAACUCUUCUCACAUACACUGUGGAAGGCAAGUAUAGUUUCAUGUGCAGGUUGAUAUGACCAACAUGCUGAUACUUAGAACAAUUACUUAAGGAGCAAUACAAUAAAAUGGGCUAGACAAAUGUGUUGGGGGGAUUUGGAGGGAUUUUCACUCUGACUCCCCAACCCCAUGGGCAGCACACCCUAGGGCCUCUGCAAAAAGAAUGGGUAGCUUUGCUGCCAACAUUCAGCAACAAACUGCUACAGUGGAGUAAAAAGAUCAAAUCUUGCUUGAGAACAAACUGAAUUUGAUUACUAGUCUUCUUCAAUGCUGGUCACCAUUUUUUUUUAAAGAAAAGGGCAAGUUUCGGCAGAAGUUGAAAUUGCUGAAUACAGAAGUUGCACUGACCCCUAUAUUGCCUAUCCUGCCAUAUUCACUUACUUUUGAGUAAUCCCCGUUAAAUUCUUGUGACUUAGACUUCUGACAGACGUGUAUACAACUGCAUCAAUAGUGACCAUUGCUAUCCAACUAUGCAUGAUUAUACUAAAGUCUAAUGAUCUGCCUUUUCUUGGCUUUGCAUGACAAAAACAGGACUCCUGCUCUGAAGUUUGAUACCUAUUCCGGAAAUUUACCCUGUCAACAGAUAUCACCAUGGCACUGAUAAUCAUUGCCUCCACCUCCAAAAGACGUGUAUUAAACGCCUUACAGUGAAAUUACAACACUGUAAAUAAAUAAAUAAAUUUGUGGAUCCAGGGUUCUGGCUGUU